AUACGUUGUUCAUUGUUCAGGAGGUUCACUAGACCAAGCAGCCUUUUGGGUUCCUCUAAGCUUCAUUGUCUUUCCAUCAAUACCUGGUGGGCCGGUCUAGGCUCAAAAUGCCCGGGCCGAUUUUUUUUGUCCAAGUCCAGCCCUGGCUUCUUCUUGGUCUCCGCAUCCAUCCUGGGCUUCUGCUGCAUUUCCGACUUCCCAGUCGGAAAUUUCAUCUGAAACGCCCCCUGAAGUUGGAUCUACGACUUGGACGAACCUCACCAACCCCGACCUGACUCCGACCUCAAAAUCCAAGAUGGCUGCACCCUGUAUCAACAGUAGUGAAAGCUCUUGCUAAGGAAGUAGGAGCACAUUGUGAUCAAGACAAAGGAGGAGCUGCACACUGUGAUGAGCUCCACUAAUUCAACUCCCGCUGCUGCCGCCUUCUCCUCGUCCAGACAGCGAGAGACUUCAUUCAAC